rnacentral:sRNA from 1 species
UAGGUCUCAAGGCCCUUCCAUCAUCUCCCGACCGCCACAGCGUUACCCGUUUCCUGCCCGUGGCCUGUCUGUGCCCUGCCAUCCCUCAAGACCAUUGUGGAGCUGCUUCUCCUUCCUGUGCCCCCUUAGGUGUGGGUCUUACUGAGUGCAGAGGGCUAACCUCUUGGCCGUCCUCCUGCGAGACAGCUCUGGAUGGUUCUGUUGCCAGGGAAGGGAGGCCUGCGCAUCCAGACCCCUGCCCACCAUGCUGCUUAAAAGUGUCUUCAGGAGAGAACUGGGACCUGGGCUGGGCCAGAGCCUGUGGAAGGCACUGGAGCUGGGGCUGAGUUGUGGGCUGGCCAAGCAGGUCAAUGGCCAGCAAGGAGGGGGGUCCGAGCCGGCGGCGGCGGCGGCAGUGGUGGCAGCGGGAGACAAAUGGAAACCUCCACAGGGCACAGACUCCAUCAAGAUGGAGAACGGGCAGAGCACAGCCGCCAAGCUGGGGCUGCCUCCCCUGACGCCCGAGCAGCAGGAGGCCCUUCAGAAGGCCAAGAAGUACGCCAUGGAGCAGAGCAUCAAGAGCGUGCUGGUGAAGCAGACCAUCGCGCACCAGCAGCAGCAGCUCACCAACCUGCAG